UGAUCUAGCUUGCUAGAUUGAUGGCGAGUGGCGAACGGGUGAGUAAUACAUCGGAACGUGCCCUGUAGUGGGGGAUAACUAGUCGAAAGAUUAGCUAAUACCGCAUACGACCUGAGGGUGAAAGUGGGGGACCGCAAGGCCUCAUGCUAUAGGAGCGGCCGAUGUCUGAUUAGCUAGUUGGUGGGGUAAAGGCCUACCAAGGCGACGAUCAGUAGCUGGUCUGAGAGGACGAUCAGCCACACUGGGACUGAGACACGGCCCAAACUCCUACGGGAGGCAGCAGUGGGGAAUUUUGGACAAUGGGCGAAAGCCUGAUCCAGCAAUGCCGCGUGUGUGAAGAAGGCCUUCGGGUUGUAAAGCACUUUUGUCCGGAAAGAAAUCGCACCUGAUAAUACCGGGUGUGGAUGACGGUACCGGAAGAAUAAGGACCGGCUAACUACGUGCCAGCAGCCGCGGUAAUACGUAGGGUCCAAGCGUUAAUCGGAAUUACUGGGCGUAAAGCGUGCGCAGGCGGUUGUGCAAGACCGAUGUGAAAUCCCCGAGCUUAACUUGGGAAUUGCAUUGGUGACUGCACGGCUAGAGUGUGUCAGAGGGGGGUAGAAUUCCACGUGUAGCAGUGAAAUGCGUAGAGAUGUGGAGGAAUACCGAUGGCGAAGGCAGCCCCCUGGGAUAACACUGACGCUCAUGCACGAAAGCGUGGG
rnacentral:rRNA from 1 species